rnacentral:piRNA from 1 species
UCACUAGUGAUUCUUGUGCGGUUCCUAUAC